UGGGGAAUAUUGCACAAUGGAGGGAACUCUGAUGCAGCGACGCCGCGUGAACGAAGAAGGCUUUCGAGUCGUAAAGUUCUUUUAUAUGGGAAGAUAAUGACGGUACCAUAAGAAAAAGCCCCGGCUAACUACGUGCCAGCAGCCGCGGUAAUACGUAGGGGGCUAGCGUUGUCCGGAAUCACUGGGCGUAAAGGGUUCGCAGGCGGAAAUGCAAGUCAGGUGUAAAAGGCAGUAGCUUAACUACUGUAAGCAUUUGAAACUGCAUAUCUUGAGUGAAGGAGAGGAAAGUGGAAUUCCUAGUGUAGCGGUGAAAUGCGUAGAUAUUAGGAGGAACACCGGUGGCGAAAGCGGCUCUCUGGUCUGUAACUGACGCUGAGGCUCGAAAGCGUGGGGAGCGAACAGG
rnacentral:rRNA from 1 species